AACCCAUGAGUUGGGGAUUUAAGUAGGAGUUUCUUAAACCUCACCUACGUUUCAUAGAUGGGUUCCCCCUCCCGUUGCUUGAAACCUUGAAUUUCAUCUCUAAGUUU
rnacentral:snoRNA from 1 species